CCCUUGUUUUUUAUCCUGGAGAGCCAAAAUAGCAAUAUUUCCAGGCAACUGAGACCAAUGACCUCCUGUCUUCAAAACAAACUGUCAGGACAGUUCAGGCCAAAGUCUGAGCUGAGUACACAAACACAGCCUAAGCAGCCACUGCUUUUCCAAGAACCAUUACCCAGCCUGUGCAGAUAGCCCUGUGUACUCUGUCACCAAGCAAUCAAACGUGGAACAACAUGAAGGGCCCUACACGAGGACGAACUCUAAACGCCUUGUAUCUUUCAGAUCCAGCUGCUGUCAGAUCUUUGCCAUCCAGUUCUGGUGACCUGGCUGUGUCCUAGAUGCGACAGUUGUCACAUGGAUUCACGUCAGAUAAAGCUACAGAGCCUCAAAAUGAUACACAAAUUCAGCAUAUGCUGAGAGAAGCGAUGGCUGUGACACGGCACGCUCCUUGAGGAAUUUUGACAAGCUUGCCAGAAUGGAAAAGUUGCAAAAUGCUUAACUUGGUGCCAAAGUUAACGCAAAUUCUCAAGUACAAAACCUGGGUAUUCUUGGGGCAGUGAAAGAGGAAGGCAAAGGACAAACAAACCCAAAUCACUGCUCCUGCAAAGUGAGACUGGGCAAGAACAGUGGCUGGUCAUACACAGCCUGGGCUAGUACAAGGCACGCUUCCAAAAUUGCUUCCUCCAGAUACCCCAGCAAUCGCUAACACAGCUUCCAUGCAGCUUACAGUAUUGCACAACCAGAUGUAAUUUAACUCUCUUGGUACUUCUGCAGGAACUAAAGAGACUAGUGCCUCAUCUGGGGCAAUAAAAGGACUUGAUGGUGGCACCACAAGCGGAACACCAAGGUUUCUCCCUGUGCUGUGGCUAAACUAAAAGCUAACACUUCCUCUGCCACCUCCAUCAGGGCCACCUGCCCUUGCAGUCCAGAGGCCAAACAGGGCUGGCUGCUCUUCAAGGUUUUGGCUGCCCUAGAAGACACACAAUGCUAUUUCCACAUUCAAACCUUCACUUUCACAGACGUCUCGCCGCACCUCAAAGCUAAUGAGGCCUGUGUAGGAGGCCUCUCCACACAAAGCAGUAACUCUCCACAUCUACUGUCUGAAAGAUCACACCCAUGUCAUGUAACUGACAUGGAGAAGGACUGGGAUGCCUAGAGAGUGCAAAACCAGGAAUGGAUGUGUUUCUUCAUACCAUAUUAGUCCAAUCCCUAAGGAAAUAAAGCUCAGAUAAUUUGCCCACUAAGAACUCUGUUCUACCCUCAUUUGGGCAAGGGACUCAGGAGAUCAUCUCUGCAAAGCAGGGUCCUGUGGAAAGAAGCCGAGAGACAGCAAGUCUUCCCCAAGGAGGGGUGGGAAAGGGCUGCCAAAGCAGAUUCUGCUGGUCUUCCUCCAUCUCCUGCACCUUCUCACCACGGCACAACAUGUGCAGACAAGGCCAAGUGAGGGCAGAGUAAGCAGAGCAGGGAAAUGCUUUGAGCACAAAUGAGGAAAGAGACAAUUUAUAUCCCAGAAAGUCAACAAGCAUCCCACCAGAACAAGCAGGGGAAUAGCACUGAAAUUAUGUAAGUGGUUCACAUAAAAAAAAGGUAAUCUGCUAAAGAGUAAAAUUAUACAAGCCAGUAAGCACAUAGUAUAAAGAGCCUUUAAUAUUGAUUCACUCACUCAAUAUUUCAUGGAAUUCACAUCUUGCUCAACAGUGGAGAAAUGAGAGAGAAAACGCUCACUUUGGUCAGGUCCUGACGUCUACAGGCUUAGACAAAUAGCAGCAUUGUCAGGUUUGGACUGAUUUCAUGUUUUAAUAAAGACACUGGUUGGUUUUA